rnacentral:lncRNA from 1 species
AAAUGAUUGACCCUGGCCAGGCUGCACUCCGGUGGGAUCCAAAGGCAGUGGAAAAAGGAGAAUAGCCCGCUACACUCCGUAAAGAUGGGAAAACUGUGAACUUGGUGGAUGAAAUGGUUUGUCUAUGACCACCCAGCCAGCUCCUAGUAGGGUUAGUGUGGAAUGCUCCCAUCCUCUGCCAGGCACUUCAGGAAUUGCUGUCAUCACAGAUCUGAGACCUAAGUUUUGGUUUGACAUCCACAGUUUACAGGUGAGAAGACAGAGGUAGAGAGAGGUUGUGGCACAUGGCCCGGGCCCAGCUCACACAGGAAGGAAUUAGAAACUAGCUUCCAC